GCAACCUGGACGAGCAGAUCACGCAGCUCAUGCAGUGCAAGCCGCUCGCCGAACAGGAGGAUACAUCUCGCCCUUUCCCUCGCUUAUUUUCAUCCGAUCGCUCCUUCAAUUUAUUCCUUCUCUGGUCAGGAUGUUUGUUUUGGGGGUUUUCUGCUCGAUUCAUGUGUAUUCUUUAUAGAUCUGAGGUUGAGUGGGUAUUUAGCAAUUUACAGAUCUGCGAUGCGUAUUCAUGCAUACCUCUCUUCCUUCCUUGCAAAAUUUCCAUUUUUUUUAACGUUCUUCCAUGAUCUUAUCACUGCCUGUGGAUGCGAGGGGCAGGCCCCGAUCGAGCCCAACAAGCAUAUUUCCUCCAUGGUAGAGGAGGCAGCGAGGUUAGCUAGGCAUUUCUGCGAGAUGGAGUGGCCUGUGCUCGUCUUCCUCGAUUCCCACCACCCAAACAAGCCUGAGCCUCCUUAUCCGCCUCACUACGUUGUGGGAUCAGGGGAGGAGGAUCUGGUUCCAGUUUUGCAGUUUUAUGGUUGUAUAGCAGAUGAGUUGAGCUAGAGCAUUUAAAGAGGAGGAUUCCGUUGUCAUGUAUAAAGUUGGUGAGCUUAACAUGCCUGUUGGGUUUCUAUUCUUUCACAAAGCUUUCAUAUUGAGCCGCAGGAGGCAAGCAGGAAGAAAUCAAACGCCCUGUUGAUGGACCAGCCGCAGGAGGCAAGCUUCCAGAUGACAUUGUGAUUGGGUUUCUAGUUACAUGCAUUAACUGUUUGUUCUAUUAACAAGGAAUAGAGGUUAGGGUGCUUUGCGAAAAAGCUAAGGAGGUUUUAAUGGAAGAAAGCAAUGUUCAGGCCAACUGUUCAAUCUGUUCAAAGCUCACAAAGAUCCUAGACAAAAUCCAAUUGCUUAUUCCUGUAAUAGAUUGAGAAAGACAAGCUACUUCUUCAGUAUUGUGGUAGUAAUUACUGUACUGUUUUGUUCCGUUCUCAAGCCGAAAAUAAUUUUUGAGUGUA